rnacentral:rRNA from 1 species
GACGAACGCUGGCGGCGUGCUUAACACAUGCAAGUCGAACGGAAAGGCCCUGCUUUUGUGGGGUGCUCGAGUGGCGAACGGGUGAGUAACACGUGAGUAACCUGCCCUUGACUUUGGGAUAACUUCAGGAAACUGGGGCUAAUACCGGAUAGGAGCUCCUGCUGCAUGGUGGGGGUUGGAAAGUUUCGGCGGUUGGGGAUGGACUCGCGGCUUAUCAGCUUGUUGGUGGGGUAGUGGUUUACCAAGGCUUUGACGGGUAGCCGGCCUGAGAGGGGGACCGGCAACAUUGGGACUGAGAUACGGCCCAGACUCCUACGGGAGGCAGCAGUGGGGAAUAUUGCACAAUGGGCGGAAGCCUGAUGCAGCAACGCCGCGUGCGGGAUGACGGCCUUCGGGUUGUAAACCGCUUUCGCCUGUGACGAAGCGUGAGUGACGGUAAUGGGUAAAGAAGCACCGGCUAACUACGUG